GAUCAGAUUGGAUAUCUUUAAAUUUGAUCAUCCAUGAUUUUUAUUGAACCAUCUAUACAUUAAUUCAAUCAUGAUUUGAUUAAAUCAUCUUGAUUAGACUAAUCGGAUUAUCGGAUAGUGUCGCUUGAUUAGUCUUACUCCAUGUUGUCGAUUUUUCUUUCCUCUAAUAUUCUCUCUCUAUAUGAUUUAUGAAUCUAGUGA
rnacentral:lncRNA from 1 species